rnacentral:rRNA from 1 species
GAUGAACGCUAGCGGCAGGCCUAAUACAUGCAAGUCGGACGGUAGACGAUCUUUCGGGACUGUUGAGAGUGGCGCACGGGUGCGUAACGCGUAUGCAACCUACCUUAUACUGUGGGAUAGCCCGGGGAAACCCGGAUUAAUACCGCAUGGUACCAUCAGAUGGCAUCUGAAGAUGGUUAAAGCCCCGGCAUCUGUCGGGGCGGUAUAAGAUGGGCAUGCGUAGGAUUAGCUGGUUGGCGGGGUAACGGCCCACCAAGGCAACGAUGGAUAGGGGAACUGAGAGGUUUAUCCCCCACACUGGUACUGAGACACGGACCAGACUCCUACGGGAGCAGCAGUGAGGAAUAUUGGUCAAUGGGCGAGAGCCUGAACCAGCCAAGUCGCGUGCAGGAAGAAUGUCCUAUGGAUUGUAAACUGCUUUUGCAGGGGAAUAAAGUGAGCCACGUGUGGUUUUUUGUAUGUACUCUGCGAAUAAGGAUCGGCUAACUCCGUGCC